rnacentral:rRNA from 1 species
GCCCUUCGCCUGUUUAUCAAAAACAUGUCUUUUUGAUUAUAAUUUAAAGUCUAAUCUGCCCACUGAUAUUUUAAAUGGCCGCAGUAUUUUGACUGUGCAAAGGUAGCAUAAUAAUUAGUUUUUUUAUUGAAAGCUUGUAUGAAUGAUUAAAUGAGAAAAAUUCUGUCUCUAGUUAAAAUAAAUAGAAUUUUAUUUUUAAGUUAAAAAGCUUAAAUUAUAUUAAAAGACGAGAAGACCCUAUAGAGCUUUAUAUAUUUAUAAUAAAUAUUUUAUUUUAAUAUUAUGUUUUAUAAAAAAUAUAUUUUGUUGGGGUGAUUGAGAAGUUUAUUAAACCUUUUUUUUAUAAUAACAAAUUUAAUUGAUUAAUUGAUCCUUUAUUAGAUUAUAAGAUUAAGUUACCUUAAGGAUAACAGCGUAAUUUUUUUGGAGAGUUCAUAUCUAUAAAAAAGUUUGCGACCUCGAUGUUGGAUUAAGAUUAAUUUUAAAUGAAGAAGUUUAAAUUUUAAGUCUGUUCGACUUUUAAAAUCUUACAUGAUCUGAGUUCAAACCGGAGAAGGGC